GGUGAACGCUGGCGGUAGGCCUAACACAUGCAAGUCGAACGGCAGCACAGUAAGAGCUUGCUCUUACGGGUGGCGAGUGGCGGACGGGUGAGGAAUACAUCGGAAUCUACUUUUUCGUGGGGGAUAACGUAGGGAAACUUACGCUAAUACCGCAUACGACCUACGGGUGAAAGCAGGGGAUCCUCGGACCUUGCGCGAUUGAAUGAGCCGAUGUCGGAUUAGCUAGUUGGCGGGGUAAAGGCCCACCAAGGCGACGAUCCGUAGCUGGUCUGAGAGGAUGAUCAGCCACACUGGAACUGAGACACGGUCCAGACUCCUACGGGAGGCAGCAGUGGGGAAUAUUGGACAAUGGGCGCAAGCCUGAUCCAGCCAUACCGCGUGGGUGAAGAAGGCCUUCGGGUUGUAAAGCCCUUUUGUUGGGAAAGAAAAGCAGCAGGUUAAUACCCCGCUGUUCUGACGGUACCCAAAGAAUAAGCACCGGCUAACUUCGUG
rnacentral:rRNA from 1 species